AAAAAAAAAAAAAGAAAAAAAAGCUACAAACUAAAACCAGAAUAUAUGAUUAAAUUAAGAGUUAGAUAGUUUGAUGAGGCAAAAAGAUGUAAAUGUACGAUUUUAGACAAUUUCUCUGCCUCACAUGGAUUACCAUAUGUUUGUACUUAUAUUAUGGUAAGUUUCUUAUGUCUCAAGUCUUAAUAUUUUUUUUUUUCAAUCUGUUUGACAAAUCUAUUUCCACAACAUUUGAUUCCUUUUACUAGCAUAUAUAGUUCCUCCAUAGCUGAGUUCUUACAGUAAUUUGAAGAAAUAAGAUAAAUUUAAUGGCUUAAUUAGGGCUAAACAUUCAGUUUAAACCGAAUUGAAUUAAACCACUUAAAUCCAAAACAAAAAUUUUACAUAAAAAAUGCAAUUGAAUCAAAUCAAUUUAAGAGAGGAAUCGAAUCAAAUCAAGCUAUUUUAGUUCGAUUCAGUUCAAAUUGUCAGUUUACUUUCAAAUUUCCCAAAUCAGAAAUUUUCAAAAUUUUCUUCAAAUCACAAAUCCCCAAUUUGCUACGCGAAGGGUCUGUUUGGAUGAGGUGAAGGAAGGGUAAAUAAUGGAAGGGUAAGAAAGGAUAAAGAAGGAAAGGAUAAGGAGAGUUAAAAUAAAAAAAAAUCUCAUGUUUGAGAAUGAGUCAAUUAAUGGAAAGAUAAGGAGAGGUAAGGAAAAGAUAAGGAGAGAUAAGAAAAGAUAAAAUUAAGAGGUGUAGAAAUGAAUUGUAAAAAAAAUUGAGAUUUGAGG
rnacentral:misc_RNA from 1 species